UGGCGACAGGGCAGUGUUGUCCUCUUUGACCCAAGGUGGAUGGAGGUUGCUCGCCUGGCUGCCAGGUGCCCUCAACAGCUGUAGACCAACCUUUGCCGACCCCUUCCCUUAGGAGCUUGAGUGGGCGUGGAGCCAGGUAGCGGCCGAGAGGGUCGUUGGUAGCUGGGGCGGCUCCAUAAAUCUCUGGGCCGCGCGCAGGGCGGGGUUUCGGGACGAUGGGGUGGGAUUGGUCGGUUGUUGGUGGGUGGGGUCGGGCUUGUUCCGCCCCGCUCCCGGGGCCUGGAACUCCGCUCUGGCGACCAGGGGGCGGGGUCGGUGCGCGGUGACGUCACGGCGCCAGCUCCUUCCGGCGCCGCAGCGCAGGCUAGCAGAGCGCGGAAGCCAAGGCUGGGAUCUUGAGACCUGGGGCUCCGGCUGCGACUGCGCGAGACCAUGGGCGCUCAGGUGAGCGGCGGCCAGGGCGCUCCGCAGCCGACGCAGCCCCAGCCCCAGCCGCAGCCCCAGCCGCAGCCGCAGCCGCAGCCCGCAGCGCCCGAGGGCCCUCAGCGGCCUCCGCCCGAGCCCGGCGCCUGGGGGCCGCUGGACGACCUGCGCUUCCUCAUCGUCUGUACCUCCUGGUACUGACUCGCCGCCCUUCGCAGUUCCGCCCGCCGCCUCCUGUCCUUCUGUCCGCCUCGCCUGAGCCGUCCUUGUCGUCUCUCCCCACGGCCCGGUGUCUCUCUUACCGUACCCCCCGGCGCCUCGGAGACGCGCUGACAAUCUGGAGGUCGCGGAGAACUGAAAGGAAGUCCUGGCAGGGCCGCCUCCACAGCCUUGCCAUGGGGCGCCGUCUCGCCUUUGGCCGCUCCCGCCACCCCGAAUUUGUUUGCUUCCCAUUUUGCUCCCAAACCAGCUCAGACCAUCGUGCUCACUCCCACCCCUUCUCCAGCCGUCUGGGUCCUCGGGCAGCCGUUCCUGUCACUGGCUUCCAGAACCAGACCAGGGGUCCUGGUAAGACCCCAAGGCUGCUGACCUGACCUCUCCUUGUCUGCCCCUUAUUGCUGAGAACUGGGCUCUUGCUUUUGUCUCUGGUCAUGGCACCAUGUGCCUUGACUUCAGAGAAAACCUUGUCACAGUGACCCUCCCCGUACUCCUAGGGGAGGUUGCUCCUCUAUCCUGGAUCCCAGUGAGCCAUUAUCAGUAUGUAUUCUUCGGACCCCAAUAACACUGGGCCUCCACAGCCAGCCUUUUGGAGAGGGAAGACAUCUGAUUGCUGGGCUGGCAGAUGAGAUGCGUGGGGCAGCUCCCGGACACCCCCAAAGCACCCUGGUCCACUUCUCCCAGAAGCUUCCUAAGGCCACUCUCAGAACUUGAUUGUUGUUCCCGCAUCCCAGGGAAAUGACACACUCUGUAUUUUUGUUUUAUUUAGAAAUGAUUUAAAAAACAUUUUACAAAGGCUGAUCAGUUUAAAAUGUGACGGACACUGAAAUGCUGUGAUGUUCCCCAGGCUGAGGGGAAGCUGGGCUCUGGGGCCCCCAAUGCUUUGCCCCUCUGACUGACUGCCCUGUCCUGGGGUGAUGGACAAACAGAUGACCACAAGGCAGGAGAAUCUGAGUGGAAGCCUCCAAGCUGGGCCCUCUCUGGUCCUGGCCCUGCAUCCCUCACAUCUGCAGCCUGGGCUGCCUGCCUCCAUCUCCUGCUCUUUCUCAGCUGGCCUCAGUAGUAUCAGGAGCCAACGGGGAGCCUGGGGGGCCUAGAAGUGAGAGCACCAACCUGAGGAGUGGAGAGGGACCAGGAAGGGGAGAAGGGAGGCCAGGAAAAGAUGGAUAAAAGAGACACUUCUGAUCUCAUCUUGGACCCUAAAGGGGUCCACAGGUGGGGACCCAAGGCCCACUCAGCCCACUGGAUGGCCUGGGCAAGUAACAACCUCUCUGUGCUUCAUUUGAGGGCACGGUGAGAGUUACCCUCGGCCUCCCAGGGCCUACACGAGUUUGAUGUGAGUGGACAGGUGUGAGCUAAUAAAGUGCUUUGUGAAGUAUAAAA